GCAGGUCCACAAGGCUCUCCCAAGGGCUGGAGCCCAUCUUCCAUGGAGCCAGGCUGGGAGAGCUGUGUGUGUUCAGCCUGGAGAAGAGAAGGCUCCAGGGAGAGCUCAGAUAUUAACAAGAAAUUCUGCCCUGUGAGGGUGGGCAGGCCCUGGCACAGGUGCCCAGAGCAGCUUUGGCUGUCCCUGGAUCCCUGGAAGUGCCCAAGGCCAGGUUGAACAGGGCUUGGAGCAGCCUGGGACAGUGGAAGUUCUUCCUGCCAUGGUCUUGGAAAUUUUUAGAGUAACAGCUCAGAAGAAAACUGCAGUUAUACCAACUGUGGAUCCAGUAGCCUGCAGGAUUGGUGCUCUUUGGAGGGAAAUUGUCCGAUGUGACAUAGGAAAAUGGAAAAGAAAUAUAUAAAUACAGCAGAAUUCUAGACAGGACUUGGAUCCUGUGCAGCGUUGAUGUCCUUUGAAAUGCACAGCUUGGUGUGGAGUCUCUGGAGACAGGAAAUGUGAAGAAACACCUUGGGAAGGAAAGUAAAUGAGAAUUCCACAGUGUUGUAUGGAAAGUAAAACUAAACUAGAACCCACAGACAGUCUAAAGGUGCUUGAAAUUAGGCUUGUGACAUCAUUCUAAGAUCUAUGACUAUUUACCUGGAUACUGGUGAAAUAGUGUUCCUACAGAAGAGGAAAAAUAACUUCAGAAAUUUCUCAUAUCAUUGGAGCAGAAAUAUAAAAGUCUCUGUUCUAGGCCAGCCUUGACAAGGCAUCACUGUGGCAGACAUGGAGCUUCUCAGGGAGUGCUG